rnacentral:tRNA from 4 species
GCUGCCGUAGCUCAGUCGGUAGAGCACAGCCAUGGUAAGGCUGGUGUCGGCGGUUCGAUUCCGCCCGGCAGCU